rnacentral:rRNA from 1 species
CCUACGGGAGGCAGCAGUGAGGAAUAUUGGUCAAUGGACGAGAGUCUGAACCAGCCAAGUAGCGUGAAGGAUGACUGCCCUAUGGGUUGUAAACUUCUUUUAUAUGGGAAUAAAAUGUUCCACGUGUGGGAUUUUGUAUGUACCAUAUGAAUAAGGAUCGGCCAACCCCGUGCCAACAGCCGCGGUAAUACGGCGGAUCCGAGCGUUAUCCGGAUUUUUUGGGUUUAAAGGGAGCGUAGGUGGGUUGUUAAGUCAAGUGUGAAAGUUUGGGGCUCAACCGUAGAAUUGCAGUUGAAACUGGCAUUCUUGAGUGCGGGAGAGGUGGGAGGAAUGCGUGGUGUAGCGGUGAAAUGCUUAGAUAUCACGAAGAACUCCGAUUGCGAAGGCAGCUCACUGGCCUGCAACUGACGCUGAGGCUCGAAAGUGUGGGUAUCAAACAGGAUUAGAUACCCGGGUAGUC